rnacentral:rRNA from 1 species
UACAGAGGGGGCAAGCGUUGUUCGGAAUUACUGGGCGUAAAGGGCGCGUAGGCGGCCUGUUAAGUCGAACGUGAAAUCCCCGGGCUCAACCCGGGAACUGCGUCCGAUACUGGCAGGCUUGAAUCCGGGAGAGGGAUGCGGAAUUCCAGGUGUAGCGGUGAAAUGCGUAGAUAUCUGGAGGAACACCGGUGGCGAAGGCGGCAUCCUGGACCGGUAUUGACGCUAAGACGCGAAAGCGUGGGGAGCAAACAGG